AGCCGCCUCCCUCCCUCUCUCUCUCCCGUUUUGAUUCUUGCAGUGCUGAUGUCUCAGUUUGCCUUCCACUUCUCUCAUAUCCCCUGUCUUUUCUCUCUAUUUCUUAUUCCUGUAACCCUGUUAACUGAUGCAAAUGUCUUCAAUCUCUCUCUUGUUCGUCACAAUCUUGCAGUGAUUGGACCGGAUCUGAGGUCCUGAUUGGUUUCGAGAAUCAUUACAACGAGUCCACCCAUUCGAGAAGGAAAUCCCAUCUUUGCUAAACAAGCCAGGGUUUGCAUAGCUUUAUGCUGGGUGACCAAUGCCCAAAAAUGAGUGCUCCAUAUAAUUGGGUUGAUACAGAUGCUCAACUGGAGCAUUUGACAAGAUUCUUGGGCGAGGAAAAGGCUUUUGCUGUUGAUACAGAGCAGCACAGUGUUUGGUCCUUCCUAGGAUAUACUGCACUAAUGCAGAACUCUACACAGAAGGAAGAUUAUUUGAUAGACACAGUUGCAUUGCAUGAUGUGAUGGGCAUGCUGCGUCCAGUGUUUGCCAAUCCUUCAAUGUGUAAGAUAAGAAGCCUUUAAGCUCUAUUACAGUACAAGCAAAGAUGCAUGAUGCAAUGAAUUCUAUUUACAUUCCAUUGAAAGGUAACUGAGUUGUUCUUUCUGGAUAUGCAUUAGAGGUAUAUAUGCUGUAGGACAUCCUGAUGGCAACAAAUUGUUUUUUCUUUCCUUUACUACAUUUAUUUGCCACUUAAUUACAAAGCCUAAAAUAGAAGAUACACUGUAAGGCAUCCUAAAUACUCACAUUUCUCUUUUUCCUUAUGUUGUAGAUCUUCCAUGGAGCUGACAAUUAUGUUCUUUGGCUUCAACGAGAUUUUCAUAUUUAAU